rnacentral:lncRNA from 1 species
UAAAACUGAUCAUAAACUUUAUCGUUGCAGAUGAGAUUGAACUUACUGGAUUGAAUGGGAGAGAUGUAAUUGGAUCAAUUAGCGCAGGUGGUGCAUGCUCCUUCUGUUGCGCAGGUGGUGUAUGGUCCUGCUCUUGUGUGUCAGGAUUGAUGGGUGGUACCGAAGAAGUAGCUCCGUCCACAUCCAUGAUGGCUGAGUUGUCUGAUGUGAAGCAAGAUGGUAAACUGCCGCUGCCUGCUGCCUUCCUGCCGCUGCAGCUGCCUUCUACCCUUCCUGGCUGCUGCAAGAUUGACAAGCCAGAGAAGGCCAAAGAUAUAAGUGCCAACCAAGUUUGUUGUCCAUGUGAGUCCGUGUGAAGCAAGAUUGUUUUUAUUAUCUAAC